rnacentral:lncRNA from 1 species
UUGUUAAAUGCUGCUCUCGCAUCGCACAGAGUCCGUUUUGCGUCUAUUUCGCGCAAACGAGACUCAGGCUUGUCCCGACACUCUCCAGAGCUAUCGACAAGCCUUUACCGCUAAACACCAGGGAUCUCACAUAUUUAAGUCUUAAUAAAUUUUUUUAAAAGUUUUGGCAUAAAUGGGAUACUUACACAAAAGUGUUCUAAAAAUGUAUCCCUAUAAUCUAAUUCUGUUGUAGUGUCAGUACAUAAUUUUAU